rnacentral:rRNA from 1 species
GAGUUUGAUCGUGGCUCAGGAUGAACGCUAGCGGCAGGCCUAAUACAUGCAAGACGAACGGUAAGUUGUGUAGCAAUACAGAUGCUGGCGACCGGCAAACGGGUGCGGAACACGUACACAACCUUCCUUCGAGCGGGGAAUAGCCCAGAGAAAUUUGGAUUAAAUACCCCAUAGUACUACGAAGUGGCAUCACUUUGUACUUAAAGAUUUAUCACUUGAAGAUGGGUGUGCGGCUGAUUAGGUAGUUGGCGGGGUAACGGCCCACCAAGCCUUCGAUCAGUAACUGGCGUGAGAGCACGACCAGUCACACGGGCACUGAGACACGGGCCCGACUCCUACGGGAGGCAGCAGUAAGGAAUAUUGGUCAAUGGACGAAAGUCUGAACCAGCCAUGCCGCGUGGAGGAUGAAGGUCCUCUGGAUUGUAAACUUCUUUUAUAUGGGACGAAAAAAGGGUUUUCUAACUCGUCUGACGGUACCAUAUAGAAUAAGCACCGGCUAACUCCGUGCCAGCAGCCGCCGCA